rnacentral:lncRNA from 1 species
UGCAGCAUGGGAUGAAGAAGGAGAGAAUAGGAGGUGUUGAGAUGUCUCUUGCAGUAAGGAAUCACCAUGUAGAAAUCUGCAAGCUAUCAAAUAGUGCACGUCCACUCUUUUUUUUAUUUUUAUCACAUAAAAAUAAUUCUCCACACCUCAAAACUGAUAAGGAUCAGAUCUACUUCCAUAUUUGAAUCAAAUUCAAAAGAAAAUUAGGUCAACAAGGGAGAGAGAGUCCCAGGGAAGUGGGGAGGUACCAACUUGCACCUCCUCACACCUUCACGCAC